rnacentral:misc_RNA from 1 species
GAUGAAGAACGUAGCGAAAUGCGAUAAGUAAUGCGAAUUGCAGAAUUCAGUGAGUCAUCGAAUCUUUGAACGCACAUUGCGCCCGCCAGUAUUCUGGCGGGCAUGCCUGUCCGAGCGUCAUUUCAACCCUCGAACCCCUCCGGGGGGUCGGCGUUGGGGACCUCGGGAGCCCCUAAGACGGGAUCCCGGCCCCGAAAUACAGUGGCGGUCUCGCCGCAGCCUCUCCUGCGCAGUAGUUUGCACAACUCGCACCGGGAGCGCGGCGCGUCCACGUCCGUAAAACACCCAACUUCUGAAAUGUUGACCUCGGAUCAGGUAGGAAUACCCGCUGAACUUAAGCAUAUCAAUAAGCGGAGGA